GCAAGGGAGCGAUGACGUGAGUCUCUCCUUGGAGAACAAGAGUAAUAAGGAACUAAGCCAGGUGUCUGAGAAGGGCUUCUGCUCGAGCAGGGCGAAUAGCCAGAGAGCGACAUUUCACACCUGCGAGAGUCUUGCUGGAAGCCACUGUAAAAUCGAAUUGGUACAUCCUCUUGAGAGGUGCACUCUCUUUUGCUUUCUAUUCGCCUGCCUGCAGCUAGAGUGCACUUUCGUUUGACGUGCACCUGAUUUCCUCCUUGGUAGCUGGUCACACCGAUUCUUCCAGACUAGCGGCUACCUCUCUGAGGGGUUUGUCGUUGGUGGUUUGAGGUUGAGAGGGAAGAGAUCAGUGAAAAAAAUCUUUCUGUGUGAGUGGAAGGUUUUCAGCGAUGAGAAAGGGAAGACUUAAAAAGUCGAAGGGAAAAGCAGCCCUCCCUGGUCCCCACGCCUCCUGUUGCCCCUACUCCACACGCGUGACCUCCUUCGGAGACCCCAGGUGGCACAUCAGUAUUUGAUCUGCUCGCUCCCCUCCAGCGCGCUGCCGGCGUUGGGCCACACACCACCCAGCUGCUGAAGCCAGCACUCAGCGCCACAAGCAGCUUCGGAAGGACCAUCUCCGUGCUCGCCCCCUCCUUGGGCUGCUUGUGUUUCGGGGACCCCGGGGCGAGGCGAGGUGAGGUGCCCACCAUGCUGGACUGCCUGCGCCUGGCGCUGCUCUGCGCGCUGCCCUGGCUCCUGCGGGCGGCGGUCCCUGGCCACCAGGAAGAGCCCCUCGCGAAAUCCGCAGAGCUGCGGCGCGAUCCGCGAGACCCCGCCAGGGGAGCGGAUUUCGAUCGCGUCUACAGCGGGGUGGUGAGCCUCAGCACCGAGAACAUCUACUCCUUCAACCACACCAGCCAUCCUGGCCAGGUGACAGCCGUGCGGGUGCAUGUCAACAGUUCCUCUGACAACCUGGACUACCCAGUCCUGGUUGUGGUUCGCCAGCAGAAAGAAGUGUUGUCCUGGCAGGUCCCUCUGCUCUUCCAAGGACUAUACCAAAGGAGCUACAACUACCAGGAAGUCAGCCGCACUCUAUGCCCUUCAAAAGCAACCAAUGAGACGGGCCCUUUGGAGCAGCUGAUCUUUGUAGAUGUAGCGUCCAUGGCGCCCCAUGGUGCCCACUACAAGUUGCUGGUCACCAAAAUCAAGCACUUCCAGCUCCCGACGAAUGUUGCCUUCUACUUCACUGCCAGCCCCUCUCAACCUCAGUAUUUUCUAUACAAAUUUCCUGAAGACGUGGACUCCGUUAUCAUUAAAGUGGUGUCUGAGAAGGCUUACCCGUGUUCAGUUGUCUCCGUUCAGAACAUCAUGUGUCCAGUGUAUGAUCUGGACCACAAUGUGGAAUUCAAUGGUGUCUAUCAGUCCAUGACCAAGAAAGCCGCCAUCACGCUGCAGAAGAAGGAUUUUCCAGAUGAGCAGUUCUUCGUGGUGUUUGUGAUAAAACCUGAAGAUUAUGCCUGUGGCGGAUCAUUCUCCAUCCAGGAAAAUGAAAACCAGACCUGGAAUCUACAACGAUCAAAGAACCUGAAAGUGACCAUUGUCCCAUCCAUCAAAGAAUCUGUAUAUGUGAAAUCUAGUCUUUUCAGCAUAUUCGUUUUCUUGUCCUUCUACUUGGGAUGCCUGCUCGUUGUGCUUGUCCAUCAUGUGAGGUUUCAGAGGAAAUCUAUUGACGGAAGCUUUGGUUCCAGCGAUGGCUCUGGAAAUAUGGCUGUCUCACAUCCCAUCACUGCCAGCACGCCCGAAGGGAGCAAUUAUGGGGCAAUAGAUGAGUCCAGUUCCAGUCCUGGGAGGCAGAUGUCUUCUUCCGAUGGUGGGCAGCCUUGCCACUCAGACACGGACAGCUCUGUGGAGGAGAGUGACUUUGAUACCAUGCCUGACAUCGAAAGCGACAAAAACGUCAUCCGGACCAAGAUGUUCUUGUACCUGUCAGAUCUGUCCAGGAAGGACCGGAGGAUUGUCAGCAAAAAGUAUAAGAUUUAUUUUUGGAACAUCAUCACCAUCGCUGUGUUUUAUGCACUGCCUGUGAUGCAGCUUGUUAUCACCUACCAGACAGUGGUGAAUGUCACUGGCAACCAGGAUAUCUGUUACUACAACUUCCUUUGUGCUCACCCCCUGGGUGUCCUGAGCGCCUUCAAUAAUAUUCUCAGUAACCUGGGCCACGUACUCCUGGGCUUCCUCUUCCUGCUGAUAGUUCUGCGCAGAGACCUUCUCCACCGAAGAGCCCUGGAAGCUAAAGACAUCUUUGCUAUGGAAUACGGUAUUCCCAAACACUUUGGUCUCUUCUACGCUAUGGGGAUAGCACUGAUGAUGGAGGGCGUGCUCAGUGCUUGUUACCAUGUCUGCCCUAAUUACUCCAACUUCCAGUUCGACACUUCCUUCAUGUACAUGAUCGCUGGCCUCUGCAUGCUGAAGCUCUAUCAGACCCGCCACCCGGACAUCAACGCCAGCGCCUACUCUGCUUAUGCCUCCUUCGCUGUGGUCAUCACACUGACGGUCCUCGGAGUGGUGUUUGGAAAAAACGAUGUGUGGUUCUGGAUCAUCUUCUCUGCCAUCCACAUUCUCUCUUCUCUGGCCCUCAGCACCCAAAUCUACUACAUGGGCCGUUUCAAGAUAGAUGUGUCUGACACAGAUCUGGGAAUCUUCCGGCGGGCUGCUAUGGUGUUCUACACGGACUGUAUCCAGCAAUGCAGCAGACCUCUGUAUAUGUGCCUUCUUUGGAUUGAUCUACCGGCCCAGGGACUUUGCCUCCUACAUGCUGGGCAUCUUCAUCUGCAACCUGCUGCUGUACUUGGCUUUCUACAUCAUCAUGAAGCUUCGAAGCUCUGAGAAAGUCCUCCCGCUACCAGUCUUCUGCAUCGCGGCCACUGCCGUGGUGUGGGCUGCGGCACUGUACUUCUUCUUCCAGAACCUCAGCAGCUGGGAGGGGACCCCUGCAGAAUCCCGGGAGAAGAACCGUGAGUGUGUCCUGCUGGAUUUCUUUGAUGACCAUGACAUCUGGCACUUCCUCUCUGCGACUGCCCUGUUUUUCUCAUUCCUGGUGCUGUUGACCCUGGAUGAUGACCUGGAUGUGGUCCGGAGAGACCAGAUCCCUGUCUUCUGAGCACCCAGCAUCACAGGGGGAAGACGGAGCAACCCACCUUGGUGCUGUUUUGUGGAAAACACGGUGAGUGUAGCAGCUUGCCCACUGCCAGACGCUCCACCUGCCUGGAGGGAGUCAAGGGUGUCUGAAUUCACACAGGAAGAGCUUGGGACUGAACUAAACCUCAAGAAUGGUAGAAGGGAUGCCCUGUUGCGCACAGAGACAUAGUCUGGAGGCUCAAGAACCUCUGUUUGCAACGUAGAGUUCAGUCUAGACACAAGCUGCAUCAGGCCAGCUUCUCCACCUGGCCCCUCCCAUCCUCAUAGAUAUUGACCAGAGAAACCAGCUACUCAGACCUCCCACCUAGAACCUUCAGUGUGGCCACUUCCACACCUCUGAGACACCUGCUGCUAUAGAAGGCCAAAGCACCAUCGAAUUCUUCCCCGGCCUCUUAGGGGACCGAACUCCUCAGAAUACGGUGCAGAAGUGGGACCAAGUCCCCACCCAACUGGAGACAGACAUUCUAGUAAGUCAAGCUAAGUCACCUCUUCAGAAGGAAUGCGGAAUUCCUGGCAGGGCUGGGAAUGCUCUGGGAUGGGAUGUAGACAUGCACACUUCUGAACGUUUGUGGAUCCAAGGCCUGGGUGAUUACCUGCUUCUUCAGGUCUUCAUCUCACUGUUGGAUGCUGACUCUGCACUCUGAUGCGGCCUUCUUAGAAGGUCCCUCUUUCUCCCUAGACUUCUAACAGCUCCAAGAUGGACACAGAUGGAGAAAAUGCUUUCCACAGCAGUGGAAGUGAUGGACAGCGCUUAGUGGCUGAGCAUUAGACAGGCAGCAUUCACCUCAGUGACUCUGGAUCCUGGAGCAAAAAAGCAACCGUGCUUGGUGGUCCCCAGACACACAGCUCAAUCUAUGCCCAUUAUAGCCUUUUCCCGGGAUUACCCUGCUGUCCUCCACACCUGAACCUGUCACUUACGCAGAUCAGGGUUCCCGACUAUCUGCCCAAAGUUCCCAGCAGUAACUCAGGAUGGGCACGUGCUCCUCCCUCCCCCCACAACUGGAUGAGUCACAGAGGUCAUGACUAAUCACCUCUUACAGGAUCCCAUUCUCUGUUCCCAGGAGGAUGUAAAAGAAAAAACAAAAAACAAAAAAGCGCAAUGUUCGAGCUUUCUUCUCUCAUGCCACCUGGCAAACUCGAGGAGAAGCCCCAUUUUGAUCAGGCUUCCUGGUUGUGUGGAGUAUGAUGUCAUCAGAAAAUAGACAUAUAAGUGUGUGCACACAUGCCUACUUGCUUGUGAAAUCGAAGUUACUCCUCACCUGUGCUCUCUUGAGCAUUUAGUAAGGAAGUGGAUGGGGCAGGCCUCUUUUUGAAAAACUAUCAUUCUUUCUUUCAAAUAUCUGUGUUCAAAUAUGUGUUUUGGACGUUUGAACAGCAAGCUUCUCCUGGUUUUAAAAAUUCAAAGAUAAUUUCCAUGAAUAA